CUCACAGUAAAGACUUUCCUCCUAAUAUGUAACCUAAAUUUCCCCUCUGUCAAUUUGUACCCAUUACUCCUUGAUCUAUCGCUGUAGUUCCUGGCAAAGAGUCCAUCUCCAGUUUCCCUGUAGGCCCCUUUCAGAUACUGGAAGGUUGCUAUGAGGUCUCCACACAACAUUCUCUUCUCCAGGCUGAAGAGCCCCAACUUCCUCAGUCAAGUAUUUUGGUGUUUCAGCUAGCCUGUUCCUCUCAGAGGAAUAAGCAGAGACCUCAGAGUACUUGUGGGGUAAGAGAAGGGGAAAGAUCCAAGCCCACAACCUGGCAAAAGCACCUUCUGCUCUCCAAAAGACCUACCAGAGCUCCCUGACAAAGGUAAAUGUUCAUGACCGUGUAAUAUAAUGUUAGUCUAGAGCAGGUUUGGUGUUGCUGAGGAUUCCUGAAGAGCAGCACGGGUCGUUGGGUCAGGGGAAAGCAGACAAAGAACACCAUGGCACCAGUGUCAGAGCUGGAGGAGAAAGGAAAAAAAAAAAUCAGGAAGAAGUGUAAGCUGUGGCUUGAAGGUGUGGAUAGGCAACUUCAUGUGAUGAAGUUGCAUUUGCGAUAAAACUGCAAAUCCCUGGAUAAAAGCUGAUCGGAUCGUUCCGUGGCUGUUAACGCCGCGUUCGUGGGGGUUGUUUCAGAUGGGCUGCAGCGAACAUCGCCGUUCCCGAGAAGACGACGGUGGCGCCGGCCGGGGAGGCAGCUGGUCCGUGUGGCGGACAGCCCGCAUGCUGCUUUUAUUACUGAGGGAAGGGAAGGGAAAGGAAAGGGGUCCGGUGGCCGAGCCCGGCCCUCGCUCCCCGGGCGGCCCGGCCCGGGGGCGGUGAGGGCGGUAGGGUGCAGGAGCGCACGCCGGCCGGCAGGUGGCGCCGCCGGCCCCCGGCGCGCGCGAGGGAGGGGGCGCGCGGCCUCCUUUCCAUGAGGGAAUAACGGACGCCCGAGGCGCAGCGGCUCUCGAAACGGGAUAUUUCCACCUAAAAAGAUGUCAUUUUUCUACAAUGCCUUCCCCCCCUUCCCCCGCUUUUUUACCUCCUCUGAAGCUGCUGAACCACCCAGUACCUGGCAUAUUACGUUAAGGUUAAUGGCUCUGGUUUGUAGGGCUGUUCUGCUUUCCUUAAUAAUGUUAAGGGAAGGAGGAGUAUAAAGUGCUGGAUGUUUGUUUCAACUCUAUUUUCUCAAAAAGCAAAAGUAUUCAAAACAGGUUGGAAAAAUAUAACCUUGAAUGAGAAUUUAUGCCCACAAACACACAAGGGGAAUUUGCAGGUAAAUUAGUUUAUACUGCAAAGAUGUAUCCAGUAGAGGUGUCCAACAUAUCACAUCACUAUUUGGCAUUAUAAGAUCCAAGCACAUGAUUUCCAUGAAAAAACCACAAACUCCAAAAACUGUCACUGCAAAUUGCUUCUAGUUGCUCGUCGAAGUAGAAGCCUUUUUCUUAUUUUUUUCCUCCAGUUUACUGACUUUUUAAUUUUUCUCCUUGUUCUCACCUAUUUUCUCUAAUACCGUAGGGAGAAAAAGUCUAAAGCUUACAUGACUUUCUGAGGACUGCUUUUCACACUAGAAAGAAAACCUAUUGAGUACAGUAUUUCCCAAGAAAGUGUUAUGAACAACUAUGUUUCAGAAACGGGCAGCCCAAACAGAUCUUGUAAAGGGCUUGCCUGUUCUUCAGAUUGCCCUACCCACUGCGACUGAAACAUCAGUUUCAGCUUUAUGUCACAGAAAUAUACACCCUGAUUUUAGCAGGGAAGUGACCUCAUUGUAUAGAAACUGGUGAGGACAACUUUCCUCAGUGCUGUCAUUCGUGUUUAGUGACACAAGUUAUUGAGAUAUAAAGGAAGUGCCAUAAAAAUGGUCCAACAUCUGGGAAAGAUACCUCAUGGUACAAGACUUACAGAGCAAAACUUAUGCAGCUCUUUGGAAUGAUGAAAGAUGUAAAAAUAAGAUUUUCUGUGGUUUGGGGUUUUUUUUCAGUUUUGGUGAUGUAUCUGAAAGAUAAUGUACUUCCCCCAGUCUGAGUGUGGCCAGCCUUGUAGCAAGUGAGACACAGUCCACGUUUCCACAUAAAGGAGUGAAACAGCCAUAUGAAGGCCACGAGCAGGGCACUAUUUCUCUGUUUGUGCCAGUGGCAUGGCUGACCCAUCUGGCAUUACUCUCUGGACUUAAGAAGCUUGCUGAUCACUUUUGUGUUCUGUAAAUAUUCCCAUGAAUGGGAUAUCAAGGGGAGAGAGAAGAGCUAAUUACCCUGACUUCAUCUCUGCCCAGUUUCCUUCCUGGUUAAAUAGGGCUGACACAUGCCUUGCAUGGAGAUUAAAGCUGGUUUGUAAUGGACAAUUUUAAUUAGGGCUGCUCAUCUAGUUCUGUAGAAGCUCCAGUCAGUCUGGUGGUAACUCCAAAGAGCCCGGUGGCUGUUUGAUUCUGCAGAACCCUGCAUAUCAUGAUAAAUCUGACAGGCAUUUUAGUUGGUAAAAAACCCCCCCAACAAUGGCUAGAUGUUUAGCCAGUUAAAAAGCAAUGGCCAGACAUUGGUCACUUCCUAUUCCUUAGCUCUCAGAAGUGGUUUCAAGAAGGCAACAUUUUUAUAUUAGUGUUUCUACAUUUCUGGCCUAUUUUCACCAGUAGGAAAGAUGGAAGCGAGUGAGGAAUAAAAUCUGUAGGGACAAAAGUUAGCUUUUCUAGAGCAGUACUACAUACAAGGAAAAUGAAAAUACGACUUUUUUUUUUUUUUGUAAAGGAAACGUUAGAGUCAGUGAUGGCUCAACCAUCAUGGCAGGUUGUGAUGGAAUGGAGCUGAACCCAGGCCCUGUACAUGCCAUGGGUCUGUAUUCCUCACUCCUUUAUCACUUGUGCUCUGGGAGCUGCCUUCCAGCACUGUGACAGGCUUUUCAUGAAGGACCUCUCAAAUUCUGGUUUCUAGUAAGGUUGUGACCCAUGGGAAAGAUUAGUUUCUUCUUUAAAGCUUCCCAGGUUAAGCUUAGCUUGCCUCUGUCCGGAUACAUGUCACAGCAGAGCUCUGGUGUGCAGCACUCAUCAGGGAGUCCUGUGAGACAGGAUUCCUCACUUCCUUUGGACUAGUGCUGGCUUUCUUCUUUUUGCUUUUCUUAGCAGCAGGUAUGAAGGGACUGGUUGAACUGGUCUCUGCCUUUCAGAAGAACAUUUAGCACAAGAACACCUGCACCUGCCCAAUGUCAUUCUUUAAAAGAUGCCUGGAGUCUUCUGUUCCCUAGUACUGGACUGCAUCACAAGUUAGCAGGGAAGACACCUGUGGUGUGCGCAAGGCUUGGGAAAGAGAGAAAAGAUGAGAGGACCUACAAUACUGACAGCACUCACAAACUUCAAAUAUCUUUCCCACAUCUCCAACACUUCAAAACCCAAGUCUGGGCUCAAGUGUGUCAGCAACAGCCUCAUCACCACCAAAUAGUGAGGGUGUACCACUUCUGUGUUCAGUGUGCUACUAUAUAGGUAGCAGCAGUGUUCCUCUUGUUAUAGCAUGAUGCUAGUGACACCAGGGCACUGCUCUGCUGUGACCUCCUGUCAUUUUCAGAACUGCUGCUUAGCAGGAUCUGAAUCUGUGUUCCACAGCAAGUGUGUCUCUUGUUCCCAGGCCACAUGACCUUGUAUUUGUACACAUUGAUUUUCAAUCAAAUUUGAAUUGCUUCUGUCCACCUCUGCCUUUAAGCAAGAUGAAUGCACAGGAUAAACCUAAUGCUCAUUGAUUAAAAAAAAAAAAAAAAAGAAAAAGUAAAAUCACUUUUAAACUAGAUUGAAGUGGCUCCUGAACUCACUGAAAGACUCACUUUAAAACCCAAGCUCCAAUGGAAGCUAAAAUGAACACUUUGGUGUGCUCCUUUGCAUCAAUUCUGUCUUCUCAGUAUGAAAGUCAAGAAAAUAAGCAGGAGUUAUGUUUCAGGCUCCCAUGCAGAAAGACAAGGAGUACAAUCUCUUUCUCAUUUUCCUUCUGAUUGCAUUGUCCUGUUCAAGAUGUGAUGUGGAGCUAACUUGCAGCAAAGCAAUUUCAUUUCUCAGAGAGAUGAGAACACAGAGGACCAUCAGAGACGGCAAGGUACCAAGUGAGGCAUAUCAAGUAUCAGAUAGAACGUAAGCUCCCCCACCUCCCGUAUGCUCAGCCCUCUAUUCCUGUGAAAGUGAAACGAGAUAGUGUUGAAACACUGAAAUACACUGACCCUUAAAGCCCCAAAAUUGUAUGCUGAGGAGACUGAGCACUACACCUCAGAGAGACAUGAGUCCUCCUCAGCAUGCCAGGGCUCAGGGUUAAAGUGAAACUUGGUGUAAUUGUAAGAUGACCCCAUUUCCUUAAGGAAUAUGGUUCUGGGCUGUCUUGUUAAGGAGCCAGAAGGUUGGUUGUAACAUUACUCAUUAAUGAAGUUCAAGGGUGAUAAAGGGCAAUAGGAGUGGGAUGACAACAAGAAAUAGCAUGAGCAGUAGAUGUGGCCUCCCAAGCUAACUGGGAGAGAGCUUGCAGGAGCACAAAAAUGUUCACGUUUUUUCAGACUGCUAAAGAGCUGUUUACUUGCUCUGCUGAUUGCCUCUGGCCAAUUUUAAUCUUGAGAGUAUGCCUGCCUUGUUCUCUGCUUUGAUCUCUUUCCUUCUGAGUCAAAACACAAAGAUGUUAUUAAGAUAAAUUAGUAAAGACAGCUCAGGAACUGGGUGGGAAAUGCUGAUCAUCGUCUCCCCUGGAGAUAAAGUAAUCCCCAUGCUCAAUCAAUUCAGAGUAUGUAACAGCGCUGAACAACUCCUUUGAAACAUGGGAAAACAAUGGUGCUCUAUGAAUUGAUUGUAUUUGGCCUAAUUAUAGAAGACCUUUGAAUAGAAGUACUUAGAAAUAAAUUGGAAAGAGUGCUAGAAAUAUGCAGUGCUGAAUAGGCCAGCAUAGGCUGAGUACCCUGUAUGCUGUAACAUUAAAUACCCUCUCUCUAUGCAGGCCUGGUUUCAUUAAUUGUCAUAAACAAAGUAGAGAAAGUGUUCUGGAAAACAAAAUGCUAUAUAAACUCUAGUAAAGAAAAACACAUGGGAGUGUCUGAAUCGGGCACUGUUUCCAUUUGAGAGCAGCCCUCAGGAAUUGUUUGGUUUUGAGCAAAAUGAAUGAAAGUUGAAGUCUGUGCUUUUUGUGCUUUGAAUGCCUCUGUGCUAACAGAUUUGUUUGGGAGCAUAUGGGUUAAGCUGGUAAACUUUAGCAAUUGGAGAUGACAAAUACCCUAAAAAGAGAAGGUAAGUUUAAGAGUUAUUCUGAAGAAAGAGGAGAUUAAUACCAUCAGGGUAUUCAGAAGAUUCAGAUAAUAAUUUCACUAAGAAAACUCUUAGACUCAGCCUACAGCUAUAAUACAAACCACUCAUAUAUAACAUCACUAAUAGAAACAAUCACCUAUUGACAUAAUUUCUCCUAAUGUAAAGAAUGCUUUGCAUAUUGUCUUUUUAUAAAGAUCACUGUAAAUCUGAGAUAUAAGAUAAUUAAUGUACAGUUGCUAUGAUUUUUAUAAUUUAUGAAAAUCCAUGAACAUGUAAUGGUGCCCAUAGACCUGAAGGGUAUACCUCAGAAGCAGCAUAAAGCACCAGGGUACAGUGCAGAACACAGGAUGGGGUAGUAUUUCAGUGCUUACAGCAAUGUUUGUAACCUUCCAUUGAGCCUACCAGGGAGUCUAACCCUCCUAAACUAACAUUUCUGAGGGUUUUUUUCGGGGGUUGUGGUUUUUUUCCUGGGGUAACUCCAAGACUCCACUUUGACUUGCAGGCCCGAUGAGGAGUUUAUUUACAAGUAUUGGUGGGUAGAAAACCUAAGCAUAUUUUGACAAGCUUCUUCCUAGAAAAACUUCUAUGGUAGGGAAGGGUGAGGAAUAAUUGUGAAUAUAGGCAUGUCUCUAUUUUUGUUUUAGAGCACAAUAGAAAUGACAGUAUGAUCAGGGGCUGGGAUCAGUCAGGAUAGGAGGAACCAAAAAUUUGAGAAAAUCCUCCAUGAAAUUCCAUUAAAUUGGACAUUUGUGACCUUGUUUGUGACCUUGAACUUUCAGUUAAACAUAGCUGAAUUUUUGUUGGUUUCAAAGUUCUAUUCAGUCUGGUCUAAAAUGAAAAAUAAGAGAAAUGAGCACAAGAAGGAAUGUUUCUGAGGCAAAGGAGUUGCUCUAAGAGUGUCAUAGGGAGCUGCACAGCAGGAGGUAUUCUGAAGCUGACUUGAAGCUAGCAAGGUCAGGACUGAGUGAAGAAAAAUAAAAGAGCUAUGGCAUGAAGUAUUAUGAUUUUUUUGUUCUAGGCUUCUCUGAGAAGAUGCUGAUGAAAAGCACAGUAUCCCAAUGCUCACUUCCAGAGUAUGAUUGUGUUGCAGUUGAAAAUGGGAUUAAGGAAGGUAGGGCAGCUUCUUUCUUGCAACUCAUCCAGCCAUACACACAGUGCUUGCUUCAGGUGAUGUUCACUGAGAUCUAGCAUUCAGGGCUGAUGCAGCAUUUCAGUGCAAGUUAAAAGGGUCCAUGUCAGAAAUGACAAAAUUGGCUUGGAGUGACUUUUGUGGAUAAUAAAAUAGAAGCAUGCAUUUAAAUGGCACUUUUUAUCUAUAGCUGCUGAACUGCUUUGGCAUAACUUCUUAAGGGACAAUACUGCCUCAAUUUAUUAGGAUAAACGUCAGCCCUGUGUCACAGAUUACUAGUGACUUCCCCAAGGUCAUGCAAGGAACUGCUGAAGAACCAGGAAUAGAACCUAAUUCAACUGGCCCCUAGGUCUCAGGGCCCAUUUGUGGCUCAGUAUUAAGCCAGAUCCUGCUCCUCUGUGAAGAGAAAGAAACAUUUCCCUGUAUGCUCUUGACUGGGCUAAAGUAGAUGGAAAAGCCAGUCACCAGCAAAAGAAACCUUAUAAACUUUUUCACCUUUAAAGCAGGCUGACUUUCUUCGAGGUAGGAAGGAAACAGUAGUCACCAAUUAGCACAGCUGGGUCAGGAUAGAUACAGUUGUUAGUAAUAAUUAUGAUAAGUUAAUUACUUCCAAGUGAGACUGAAGUGAUUGCAAAGAGGAGGCUAGUUGACCCAAGUUCCUGUCUCUGGCUGUAACUAUGUGAUAGAGCUUUUCAAGGAUGAACUACAUUUGUAGGCUGUCAUGCACCCAAACUUCGUGUAGCCCUGUAGCUCAGUAUUUACUGUAUUCAUGGUAACACACGUUGCUGUUGUUUGUAACAGCACAGAAGUUUUGCAAGAGCCUCAGGACUUCAGGCUUUGUCUGGGCUUGUCUUGGCCUGCCUGGGGCUUUGCUUUAGCUUAUUUAGCUGCAGGGGCAGUUUCCUAAUGAACAGGUGACUGUUACACAAUUUGCUCUGCUUUUGCUUAGUUUUGUACAGUUAUGUGAUGUAACCAUAAUUUUUAUUUAGCUGAGAGUUCUUUCAUGUGGAAUGAAGAAUGCAGGACCCUAGCAAAAUGAUGUGGCAUGGAGGACAAUAAACAUGGUAUCAUGGCAGAGGCUCAAAAGGAAAGCUACUGGAUGCACUGCAGAGGAGUACAGAUCUGAGGUGUCAAUAGAGGGCUAUAAACAAUGUAUCAGUGGUCAACUGACUAAUAGUUAAAUAAAGGCAGACCUGACAACUGCGUAAAAUUGGUUUUAGGUGUAACAAAGAGAAAGUAUCCAGUGUACAUAAAAUCUUAUAUAUGGUGUGAGGCCAGCCACCUUAGGAUUCAGGUGGGCAGUGACAAGGUGAGUAUAAAGCAGAAAAGGGGUAGGUACUAAGAGAUGUGUGUUACAGUUUCAACUUUGUCAUUAGUGAGACUUAAUAGCAUUCUUCUUUUUUUUCCCCUAUGAUAAUUAGAUCAAGAUUAAAAAUUCAGUGAUUGCAAGUUAAAGAUUCAGUGACAGUAACAAUUGGCUUCACUCAUAAGUUGUGCCUUUUUGGCCAUACAGGACUUUUGAAGAAAGAGCAUCCAAAUGUCUUCCUAAAAAGAUUGUCAUCACACAUUGAGAAUACUAAGUGAGAAGCUGUGGUGGUGAAAUAGGUGCUCACCAGAAAUUCUCUAAAGACAAUACUAUGUAUUUUCCUUAGCCAUUUAUUUACAAGAAAAGGAAUUGCUUAUUUGAUCUGUAGAAGGUGAAACAAUGUAAUAAAAUUCUGAAAAGACAUCCCUAUGAUUUAUCUGUUUCACUCAAAUAUGUAUCUUUUACUCAGGAUGUUUGCUAUCAGUACUUCAAUAAGCUUUGGGAAAAGUUGUUUACAUCACUUGUUUUUGGAGGAAAGGAAUGAGAAUGGAUCACUUGUUAUUAAGAGAAAAGCUGAGAAGCUGUUUGUUAUUGAUUUGUCCAUUGCAUACAGUAAAUAUUUCAUUCAAUUAUUUAAUGAAGCUGUUCUUAAAAUAUAAUGUAUUUUGUUUUGCCUUAUAACAUUGAUAUGCUACAAGAAACUUGCAAUAACGCAAGAUUUAUUGUUAUUUUUAGGAUAUGAUUUGAAUCAUAUGCUUUUAUAAUGAGCUUUGGCACAUGUGCUGUGACUUUAUGUUUCCUGAGCAAGUAUGAAUAUUAACAUACCUUAUCAUAAAACAAGCCUCUAAUUAAAAAACAUUUUUAUAUGUAA